AUAAUAACAAGAAGAGUCAAGGUAGCGAAAGUUGCUAUACUCUAGUAGCUGGCGGGGCUAGUGCUAGUGGUGAAGGAAAUCAAAUGGCAGAGAAGACACGGAUUCAUACUUCUUUUUUUAAAUAGCCCAGCUCCCCGAAAACAACGUUCGACUUGCAUGUGUUAAGCAUAUAGCUAGCGUUCCUUCUGAGCCAGGAUCAAACUCAGAUUUGGACUAUGAUUGGGCCGAACAGUGGUAGAACCUGGUGAACCGGGCCUACUACUAAACAUUGAUUCUCUCUCCUAACCACUCUUAAAUAUGUGAAAUACACGGAAUCGAUCCAAAACUACAAGGGCUGCUGGGCAAGUGAAUGAACUCUGUCCUAGGCAUUUCCAAUAAGUUCAGUGAAGUGAGGGCGAAGCCUUUUUUGAGAGGGAAAAUACACUCCAAAUGAUAUUCCAUAAUGGAAGGAAUGAGUGGAAGAUUUACUGGAAGAAAAAAAUACGAUACUUUUCUAGUCGUAGGUAGGGCUACCUAUCUAGUUUCGUGCUUGGGGGGGGGUGGCUAGCGUCGCGGGGCGCCGCCCCCUGCCCGACAGCGUCGGGUCCUGGUCCGCCCCUGCUCAGUCUCUCCUCUCUCGCGUCAUCGAGGCAUGUCAACGCUGCUUCAUCUUCUUCCCUCACCCAGCGUCGCUCCUCGGGGCUUGGGAUCUCGUAGCUAGCUUGCGACGAAUCUGGGCAUCCUUGCCCAGAUUCGGCAUUUGUGAUGGUCGGCGGGGGCGGGGGUGGACGCGAUAUUGUGGAGGUGAUGGUGAUGGGGCUGUUGUCCGCGCUGCUCCGGCGUGGGCGGUGGAUCUGACCAGGACAUGGAGGCGCAUGUGAUGUGGUGGUGGCAGGUUGACUGCGGCGACGGUCGGAUUGUUUUGGCGUUGACUCGUCUAUAGGCCGCAUGUGUCGUCCUUCAACCCCUCUUCUCGACGCCCGUUCACUUCUCUCAUCGAUGGCAUGGUGUUCUUCGAGCUGUGGUCCAUCUCCCGUCUCGCGCCUGGUGCCGCGGGACCGAGCUUGUCUCGUGCCCAGCUACAGGAUUGGACUCUCUCGCGCCCGACGGCGGGACUGCGCUCGUCUCACAGCUGGUGCUGCAGGACGGCUCGAUGGAGGCCAGUUGUGGCCGGCCUAUGGGGUCUCGGCACUAGGGGUCGACCAGGGGUGCGAAGGCGGGGCCUUUUCGCUCGUCUGUUUGGUUAACUACAAGAAAUCGGUUAAUCUAUGACAACCCCUAUCCGUCACCGACAGCCCAAAAACUGUCAUCGAUGGCCAUCUGCGACGGUCGACCUGUCCGUCAUGUAUAUCGCGUCAUAAUUUGUCCAUCCCACAAAUUAUGACGGAUUUAGUAGUCCGUCAUCGAUGUUGGUCAAAUCAUGACGGCUCUCUACCGUCACCGGUCGUACAUGUCUCAUCAUAUCCAUUCAGUGUUCAAGACAAACAUGUCUGAUCAUGUCCAUUCAUUCAGGGCUAAGGCAGGCAACAACCAUGGCAAGAGAAAAUCUGAAUGCGUUCUCAUAAACUGCAAGUUUGAUGCUAGCAAAUCUGAGUGCAUCCUCCAACAGAAAAACUAAAGAAAGGAACAACUUGUAUACAGUACAAGUUUGCUGAUGCUAGAAAAUCUGAAGGAUAGAGAUGAUUUCCCUNNNNNNNNNNNNNNNNNNNNNNNNNNNNNNNNNNNNNNNNNNNNNNNNNNNNNNNNNNNNNNNNNNNNNNNNNNNNNNNNNNNNNNNNNNNNNNNNNNNNNNNNNNNNNNNNNNNNNNNNNNNNNNNNNNNNNNNNNNNNNCAUACCGCUCGUUCCUGGCCCACGUUGAUGUGGAGAAGAACGGGGGAAUGUCUGGUGCAUCAAUGGAGGGCGGCGGCUAGCUCGUCCGUGCGGCAAUGGCGGGCGGCGGAUGGAUCGUGGGCACGACAAUGGCGGGCGCGCGGAGGCUGGCUCGUCGGCGCAGCAAGGGCGGGUGGCGGCGAGGCGGGAGGCCGACGGGAUCUUGAAGAUGAUGCCGAGAGAGACCACCCCGCCGGACCUGACAACCCUCUCCGGGGCAGUCGUCGGUGGCACUGGCGGUGCCGCAGCGACGGCCUCGAUCUGAAAAUUGGGAUCCUCCCAAUUUUUUUUUGUUGAGAAAAACGUAUGGGCCAAAGAAGGGGCAUAUACACGACAUCAGCAGGACGACAAUCCAUGACGGUUUAAAUGGUGUAUACGAAAAAUUGCUAGGCCCGACUAAGCCCAGUUCUUCGAUUCAUGACGGUUUCCGUGACGGUAUCCGGUCAUCCGUCAUCAAGGGCCUGCUGUCCUCCGACCCAAUCGCGGCUUACUAAUCGGUGACGGUAUGUGUGACGGAUUGUGGAACGUCAUCUGAAUUCCGUCAUGGAUCAACAGAUUUCUUGUAGUGGUUGGAACGGCUGCAGGUCUCGGGGAACAUGGUGUCAAGGUCUUGGAUACCUGAGCGGCGGCCCUGGUGGUGGUGGUGCGGUGCUCAUGGACAGAGCAUGUGCCUUGGUGCUUCCUGGUAGCCACGGUCGUGUGGACGAUAUGGUAGCCGGGGUGUAGCGUUCGGUGGUGUUGAGUGUUGGCCGGGUGAAAACCUGCUCUUUCUUCGGACGGACCGGUGUUGGCGAAGCUCGUUCCCUUCUUGAAGGUGUCGUCACAGCUCUCAUUACCCGUCGUGUUGCUUUGGGGGAAACUCUGAUCCACGGAUCGGGCGGUGGCAGCGCUUCGGUGUCGCAUCCUUGCUGAAGGCGUCGCCUUGAAGCCCACGGUUCGUUAUAUGUAGCUUCACUUCUUCGCUGUUGCAUGUUCAUGGUUGAAGCUCCCGGAUGCUCUUAGUGCUAGGGAUGGUGUUGCUGCAUUCGACGUCUAUGUAUCCUGUCGUGGGUGUGUGUGCGUGUGUUCCGGAGGCAUGGAUUUGUAUCGGAUGUUGUUGAUCGUUGCUUUUAUAUAUAAAGCGGAACGAAAGCCUUUUCCGUAAGAGGAACUCUAGGGUUCCAUUAUAUUAGCCAUCGAGGUAAUCAGAGAAUUCUCAAUCAAGUCAUGUCUAAGUCAGCGGUAUCCCGGUUGUUAUACAGGAAGAACUUUUACCACUAGCGAAAGAUGAAUGAUAUGCUACACUAAUAAACGUAAAAACUACUAGGGCGGUGAAGAUGAUGCUUACGCGGAGGAGCCAACUCGGACCGUUCGAUAACUGAAGUGGUAUUUGUAGGACUCACGACAGUUAACUAAACAUGUUCCUUGUUAACUGAAGGUAAAUAUGCAGGCCUGAUAUUGCCACCUUCUAAAGAGAUGACAUUUCCUCAUGGUGUUUUAUGUGCCUCGCGCCAGGCUCGUGUUGUAGCCUUGAAGAAUUUUGGGAAUAUGUAUUUGAUGAAAUUCGCAUCCCCUAAUGUUGCUUCCUCAGGAAACAUGUUUGCCCACUGAAUGUACCAUUGUAUCACUAGCAUAAAGCUUCGGCUUCGCAUCUCCCCUCAUCGACCCCCCGCGUCGCGUCGACCUGCUGCUCGAGGGCCCCCAUCCCGCCACACCCCUCGCUCUUCUCGACCUACGCCCGCCGCCUCUACGCACGCACUGCGCCUGCAAUUGAAUUGAGCACCCUUUACAAAAGCAGAGUCUGAUUUGUGGUGAGCCUCGUCCGAUUCCAUUCGCGUCACGGCGCGCCAUUGAACUCUAUCUGAUGUUUUCCCCUCACAUAAUUUCCAGCUUCAACUCCAGGUGAAGCCGUGACUAGGGCGCCCUGCCUGCUUGGUUACCUGCCACAUCCCAGCUUGCUAUCAAUGAGCAGGGAUCACCGCCUGCAUGCAUGCCUCGGACCGCAUCAGAGCCUCUUGCCUAUGCCGGUGAGUUUAUGACUUUAUGGGAUACCGUAGGCUAGCGCGUUGUUUUGGCACGGGGUAACUUUCAUUUCUGCACCAUAGUUACCAUUAUGCCGGGCAUUGUUCAGUAUCCUAUAAGGAUGUUGAUUGUGCAGCACCGAGCUAGAUAGAUGUUGUAACAAGGCUAGAAAAAGCUUCCAAGUUGGAUCUCAAAAGCUGGAGUUUCCAAGUUAACUAGAGGAAAGAGAGAAAUAUAUAUGGCGCCUAUUUCGAUAUGGCUCCGGGAUACAAUGAUGUAGGGAGAGUUACAAAUUUAUAAAAGUACAGCUAUUUCUUCAAUCAUAAGAAUUACAAUUCCAUAGCAAAUAGUACAACUCUAGUCUUAAGGCUAGUGAUAUAUGACAACAUCUAGACGCGCAAUACAGCUAACUUCCAUGAAACAAAAAGAUUAGGAGCGCGUCGAAUGCGAGCUUCCAGCCAUAGCUUGGAGCAGUCUUGGUAUCGGGGGCAUCGUAGUCUCAACAAGCCCUUCGAGAAUCUGAACCACCUGUCCCAUUGUUGGCCGAUCAAGCUCAUCAUCUUGAAUGCACCAACACGCAACCUUGCAAGCUAGUUCAGCCUCAUCCAGAUUGACAUCACCAUGUAAAAUGUGAUCUACCAAACACCCAACGUCUCCUUCAAGAAUCUUAUGUGCGGCAUGCACAGGGAAAUAAACAUCAGCGUUGCCACCACCAGGACAUGAUGUGCAAGAGUUCCUUCUUCCAGAUAUUAUUUCCAGCAACACCAUCCCGUAGCUGUAAACGUCGACUUUCGGUGUAAUAGCCACGCCGCUAAUCCAUUCAGGUGCAAGGUACCCUGCAGUUCCUCUCAUUGUAGUUAGUACUCGGCUAAAAUCCCUUUCCAAAAGCUUUGCCAUGCCGAAGUCUGCAAUUUUUGGAGUGAAUGAAGCAUCAAUAAGUAUGUUUUCUGGCUUAAUAUCACAGUGUAUGAUGCAGUCUCGACAGCUCUCAUGUAAGUAGGCUAACCCUCUAGCAACCCCCAGGGCUAUCUGAUAUCUACCAGUCCAACUUAAUAUUGUUGAAUUGUUUCGGAAUAAAUGGAUAUCAAGAGAGCGAUUUGACAUGUAUUCAUAAACAAGCAACCUCUUAGAACCCUCACAACUGAAACCGAUGAGCUUAACUAAAUUGAUGUGCUGGACAGCUCCAAUUGAGCUCACUUCAGCUCUGAAUUGUUUCUCCCCUUGAUAAGCACCGUCAAGCCUCUUCACUGCUACAGCUAUCGAGUCAUUUAUAAACCCCUUGUAUACAGAACCAAAACUGCCUGCCCCCAACUGAUCUGUAAACUUUUUUGUGGCACCCUGUAAAACAGUGUAUCUAAAUGCAAUGAUUCCAUUAGAACCUUGAGCACCAUUAAGUAUGAGAUCAGAGCUCUUCCUUUUAUUUCUCCAAAUCAUCAGUAAUAGGAAAAGUGAAAAUAGGCCUAGUGCAGAAAAGCCUGUACCAAUUGCAAUUCUAAUAACAAACCCUCCUCUGUUGUUUUUUAAACUUUUGAUAUCUUUAGCAGAUAGGCGAAGGUAAAUAGUUUCUUCAUUUGAAUUGGUAGCGCCACCACAUUGUAACUGUCUCAUGUUGAGCAAUUCAUUAUUCCAGAUAGAACAUCCGCUGUUGCUAAAGGAAUACGCGGUGCAAGAGCAAUUAUUGAGGCAAGCUUGUGCACACUUACUCGUGCUUGCAGCUUCUUCUACUUUUCGGGCAUUAUGCGGCGGCUUAACACAUGGCACAGGGUAAAACUUGUCCGUGGUAUGUGUCGUACUUUUGUUGCUAAUAUUGCAGUCUAAAGGAGUAUUUCUUGAGCACCCACCGGUUCGAUCUUCUAGUUCCCAAUCCUCAGGGGAUGUUAUGGUGAAGCCCUCCAUGCAAUCACAAUACUGGAGUGCAUUAUCAUUGCAAAUCGUGAAUGGUCCACAAAUUGCAUAGACAUCACAUUGAGCUUUUGGUUGGGCAUAUAUCAUUACCCAGUCCUGUGAACCCUUUAACCAGAUGAACAACUUUGAUCGACCUGAAACAUCAUGUACUUGGCGAGUAACCAUUGUUUCAUCUUCUAAGUUAUAUGUGUAAUACUUCUCUUGGUCAUUGCUGACAAAUAUCGAACUGAAGAUAGAAUGGGCUGCCAUCUCUGGAAUUGAGGCAAAGUAUUUGCCGUUCCAUACACCGCUAGACCAAUAUGGUACCAAGGAGUUCAAUGGUGCAAGCCAGAACUGGUUAAUGCCACUGGGGUCUAUCUCAGUACAGUAGAUGCCACUAGCCGGGCUGAUCGAGUUUUUUGAAGAAACAAGGCGGCGAUUUAUGCCGGUAACCUUAUCCCAUCCAAGCUUUGCCCCAGGAAAAAAUGUAUCUGUGGGAUGAUCAAAGCUCUGCCAGAAAACUUCUGAUAAGUUCAAAGAGUUUGCCAGGAUGAAAUUUCCACUACUCAACAGCACUGCUGUGGUGCUAUUUCUUGUGAUGGAUGCUUGUGUAGACCACAUUAUGGACUUGCUGGACCGGUUUAAGAUGGCAAGGUUGCCAUCGUGGGAAAUUGCGAGCUCCAGUGAGGUGCUAUUCUUGAUUGGCUUAUCCCUAUUUGCAACCCACGCUGAAGUAAAUUUGGGAACUGUAUUGAACCAUAUGCCAAGGUACCAGUUGGGAGUGCUUCCGGAGGAUUUUCUGCUUGUUUCGAAGAAGCCAAGCGCGUACCUGCCAUUGCUGGAGAUGAGCUUGUCGUUGACGCCAAGUGUCUGGCCGGCUAAGAUGGUGUCCGUCGCUGCAGAACUUGCUGGGAUGUGUAGGUACAAGAGCAGGGUGAAAAAAAUGAGGUGGAGUGGCAUGGUGAACUGACGGUGAGGGCGUGCAGAAACUUGUCGUGCAAGGGCUGCAAAUGUAGACUGGGUACUCAGUGGUCAUGGUGAUAAAUAGUCACGGCCGAGUCUAAGCUCAAGGGAAGGGCCUAACUAUUGGAGUGAAAAUUUAUUCCUGUGGUGAUGAUCAACUGAAUCUUGCAUAGCCUGCAUGGCAGGCAAACAAUGUGGUCCGUGCUCUUGUUGUGCACUGGAUUUGUGGCAGAAAGGAAAGCGCAAAGGAAGGACAGCAGCUUGCCGUUGGCGAACUGGUAAUGGCACCACGGCAGUGUGGUCCUGUAUUCCUAUAGGAAAACACUUAGUAUCCAUAGUCUGGAACGAUUCCAAUCGUCAGACCCAUCUUCUCCCGUCGAUCCAGCAGAAUUCCGACGCUCCAGAUUCGUCUGUGAUUUAGAAACUAAAACCGUAUCCCCUAAAUCCCGCACGUAAUCUACUCCAAUCAACGCCCACAACCGCCCGUGUCUGCCCACUCCCCUGUUUCCCCAACUCACCAUUGCUGACUCCAGCGCCAUCCCGUUCUCCGCCACCAACCAAGCCGCUGACCCCCGUCCCCCCCACCGGCCACGAACGCCGCCCUCCCAUUCCACCGGACCGUCCGCCGGAUCGACCUCGCAGGCACAACCUCGCACCCGUGCACUGCCCCCUCCUCUGUUUGCCACCCCACCUUCGUCGCAUGCAGCGGCAUCUCCUCCACCGCCACCAGACACCGCCGUUGCCCCUACAGCCCACCGACCCCGCUUCCCCCACCGGCCGUCGACGCGACCCUCACGGUCCACGGAAGCCUACUGUCACAUCCAGCCCACACCCCUAGUGCUCGACCCGCCACGCACCACCAGCUCACCCCACAUCGGAUCUAACACCCCGCCGGCGGCGAGCGGAUCAGUCAUCCCAUCCGCAACAUCGCCAGGGCGUACAUCCCGUCGAUUUGAAGCUGUCGCAUUGCAUCGGCCGCCACUUGCUGGAGCUCCCCAUCCCAGGUCGUAGGUAAACUCUACUGUUUGUGUGUUGUUCCAGAUUUGGGAUUUCUUUCUCAUUUUUUUUCAAAUGAAAUCUGAUGUCUAAUUCAUCCUGUAGACUAAAUGUUUCAUAUGUUCAUUAGUUGACUAGCAUUUGUUUUUGAAUAUUUUCAUAUGUCGCACCCGUGCUUCCUAUCUAUGCAAAUGUUCUAAAAUACAUCCCAAUAAGCUUCCUGUGUCACAUGUAGACGAACACUUGGCGGCAAAUUUGUUAUCUAUUCCCUUUUUAAAAAUUCCUUGCUUCCAUUGUACAGAAAAAUUGAACCAUGUUGCACCUUAAAAUGCAUCAAACACAGAUGCUUCUGCAGUGGCCACUCUCUGAUUCGAUUGUAUUAAAAACUGCUUCCAAAACAUUGCCACCAUGGAAAACAUACACUCAAUGGAAGCAACUUACUAAUGCCUGUGUCAUGCGCCGUAUUCAUCGUGUGCCCAUUUUUUUUGCUCCUGACCAUAAACAAUGCUUUUAGUUUUUUGUACUGCAUUUUGUUACCGUGCCUAAUACAUCAUACAAAUAUGCUAACCCAUCACAUCACUCUUUUUCUCAGGUGACAAUCAACAAUGACUAAAAAAGAUAAAGAGUCGCUCAUGCUCCAGAGUCGAUAUGCAGCGGGCCGGUUACAUGAUAUCGUGUUAGGUCUCGCCCCCGCAAGGAAAAACCUCAUUCGUACCAAAAAAUGGGGCAAUCUCCUGGAUGUUAGCAAAUUCUCAGCCCUCGAGGGACUCCUAGAAUGGAUCAUUGACAGGAUUGACCCGAAGCUUGGUGAAUUUCGGAACCCACGAAACAAUACCAGCAUUCUAUUCACUCCAGAAAUGGUUGAAAAGGUCCUCGGACUUCCUCAUGGGACUAGGCCUGUUGUUGUCAUAAGCAAGCAUGAAGAAUCCCCUCACCGAGAAUUCNNNNNNNNNNNNNNNNNNNNNNNNNNNNNNNNNNNNNNNNNNNNNNNNNNNNNNNNNNNNNNNNNNNNNNNNNNNNNNNNNNNNNNNNNNNNNNNNNNNNGUCACCACAGAUAGACACGUGCAAGACAUACAUCAAGUGUUCUUAAAGACUCAAUCCGAUAUGAUAACUUCAAAGGGGAAACUCAAUUCAUUACAUGAAAGGAGAGGGGGAAGAACAUCAUAAGAUCCAACUAUAGCAGCAAAGCCCACGGUACAUCGAGAUCAUGACAUCUCAAGAACAUGAGAGAGAGAGAGAGAUCAAACACAUAGCUACUGGUACAUACCCUCAGCCCCGAGGGUGAACUACUCCCUCCUCGUCAUGGAGGUCGCCGAGAUGAUGAAGAUGGCCACCGGAGAUGGAUUCCCCCUCCGGUAGGGUGCCGGAACGGGCUCCAGAUUGGUUUUUGGUGGCUACAGAGGCUUGAGGCGGCGGAACUCCCGAUCUAGGUUUCUUUUCGGGGGUUUCUGUAUUUAUAGGAAUUUAUGGCAAUGGAAUUACGUCGGUUGGGCCCACGAGGGGGUCACAAGCCUCCUAGGUGCGUCCUAGGGGGGUCGCGCCUCCUGGGCUUGUGACUCCCUCGUGGCUCUUCUGGUCUUCUUCCAAAGCUUUGGGGGGUCUCUUUUCAUCCAAAAAAAUCAUCGUGAAAGUUUUAUUCCAUUUGGACUCCGUUCUGAAAAAGGUCAAAAACUCGGAAAAAACAAAAACUGGCACUAGGCACUGAGUUAAUAGGUUAGUCCCAAAAAAGAUAUAAAAUAGCAUAUUCAUGCAUAUAAAACAUCCAAAGUUGACAAGAUAAUAGCAUGGAACCAUCAAUAAUCAUAGAUACGUUGGAGACGUAUCAAGCAUCCCCAAGCUUAACUCCUGCUCGUCCUCGAGUAGGGAAGUGAUAAAGACCGAAUUUUUGAUGUGGAAUGCUGAUGACCCACAAGUAUAGGGGAUCAAUCGUAGUCCUUUCGAUAAGUAAGAGUGUCGAACCCAACGAGGAGCAGAAGGAUCUGACAAGUGGUUUUCAGCAAGGAAAUAUCUGCAAGCACUGAAAUUGUCGGUAACCAGUGAUUGUGUGGUGAGAUUAUUCGUAGCAAGAAACAAGUAAAAAAAAGUAGAAACGGUGCAGCAAAGUGGCCCAAUCCCUUUUGUAGCAAGGGACAAGCCUGGACAAAGUCUUAUAGGAGGAAAAACGCUCCCGAGGACACACGGGAAUUUCUGUCAUGCUAGUUUCAUCAUGUUCAUAUGAUUCACGUUCGUUACUUUGAUAGUUUGAUAUGUGGGUGGACCGGCGCUUGGGUACUGCCUUUACUUGGACAAGCAUCCCACUUAUGAUUAACCCCUCUCACAAGCAUCCGCAACUACGAAAGAAGAAUUAAGACAAAGUCUAACCAUAGCAUUAAACUAGUGGAUCCAAAUCAGCCCCUUACGAAGCAACACAUAAACUUAUCCCAUGUCCGCAGGAACAAAAGUAACUACUCACAAAGCAUAAUCAUAUUCAUGACCAGAGAGAUAAUGAGUAGCAUCAAGGAUCUGAACAUAAACUCUUCCACCAAGUAAUCCAACUAGCAUCAACUACAAAGAGUAAUCAACACUACUAGCAACCUUACAAGUACCAAUCGGAGUCGCGAGAUGGAGAUUGGUUACAAGUGAUGAACUAGGGUUUGGAGAUGAGAUGGUGCUGAUGAAGAUGUUGAUGGUGACGAGUCCCCUCCGAUGAGAGGAGUGUUGGUGAUGACGAUGGCGACGAUUUCCCCCUCCGGGAGGGAAGUUUCCCCGGCAGGAUCGUCCUGUCGGAGCUCUAGAUUGGUUCUGCUCAAGUUCCGCCUCGUGGCGGAGGCGAAACCACGAAAAAGCUCCUCCUUGAUUUUUUCCUGGACGAAACCCUCCAUAUAGCAAAAGAGGGGAGCAAGUGGGUCAGUGGGCUGCCCACAAGCCCUCAUGGCGCGGCCUGGGGGGUGGUCGCACCGUGCAGGCUUGUGGGCACCCCCUGGUGCCCCUCUAGCACUUCUUCGGCCCAGUAAUUUUGAUAAAUCGGGAAAAAAUCCCUCGUUGAUUUUUACGGCGUUUGGAGUUGCACAGAAUAGGUAUCUCAACUUUGCUCCACUUUCAGGCCAGAAUUCCAGUUGCCGGUAUUCUCCCUCUUCAUGUAAACCUUGCAAAAUAAGAGAGAAAAGGCAUAAGAAUUGUACCGUGAAGUGAAAUAACAGCCAAAGAAGCGAUAAAUAUCAACAUGAAAACAUGAUGCAAAAUGGACGUAUCAAACGCUACCUAACAUAUUUGUCCUUUGUAACUUCUUUCUUGUGGCAUGAAUGUUCAGAUCCGUAAGAUUCAAAACAAUAGUUUACUAUUGACAUGAAAACAAUAAUACUUCAAGCAUACUAGCAAAGUAAUCAUGAACUUUUGAAAUAACAAGGCCAAAGAAAGUUAUCCCUACAAAAUCAUAUAGUCUGGCUAUGCUCCAUCAUCCCUACACAACGAAUUUAAAUCAUGCACAACCCCGGUAUUGGCCAAGUAAUUGUUUUCGCACACUUACUUUCUCAAACUUUUUAAACUUUCACGCAAUACAUGAGUGUGAGCCAUGGAUAUAGCACUAUAGGUGGAAUAGAGUGUGGUGCAGAUUGUGAGGCAAAAAGGAGGAGAUGGUCACAUUGACUCGGCAUAUCAAUAGGCUAUGGAGAUGCCCAUCAGUAGAUAUCAAUGUGAAUGAGUAGGGAUUGCUAUGCAACGGAUGCACUAGAGCUAUAAGUGUGUGAAAGCUCAAAAAGAAAACUAGUGGGUGUGCACCCAACUUGCUUGCUCACGAAGACCUCGGGAAAUUUUGAGGAAGCCCGUCAUUGGAGUAUACAAGCCAAGUUAUAUAAUGAAAAUUCCCACUACUAUAUGGAAGUGACAAAACAAGAGACUCUCUAUCAUGAAGAACAUGGUGCUAUUUUGAAGCACAAGUGUGGAAAAAGAUAGUAGCAUUGUCCCUUCUCUCUUUUUCUCUCAUUUUUUUGGGCUCUUUGGCCUCUCUUUUUUCAUUUUUUUGGUGGGCAUCUUUGGCCUCUUUUUUUUCCUCAUACAAUGCUCUAAUAAUGAUGAUCAUCACACUUUUAUUUACAUACAACUCAAUACUUAGAACAAUGAUGACUUUAUAUGAAAUGCCUCCGACAGUUUACCGGGAUGUGCAACGAUCUAGCUUAGCGGAUGACGUUGAAACAUCUCGCUAGCUAUCUUACGAUCAUGCAAUGGCAAUAUGAAAGUGACGGCACAUGUCAUGAGACGGAGCGGUGGGAGUUGCAUGGCAAUAUAUCUCGGAAUGGCUAUGAAAAUGCCAUAAUAGGUAGGUAUGGUGGCUGUUUUGAGGAAGGUAUAUGGUGGGUUUGUGCACCGGCGAAAGUUGCGUGGUACUAGAGAGGCUAGCAAUGGUGGAAGGUAAAAGUGCAUCUAUACCAUGGACUCACAUUAGUCAUGAAGAACUCAUAUACUUAUUGCGAAAGUUUUUAUUAGUAAUCGAAACAAAGUGCUAAACACAUACUCCUAGGGGAAGGGUUGGUAGGUGUUAACCAUCGCGCGAUCCCGACCGCCACACAAAGGAUGACAAUCAAUAUAUCAAUUAUGCUCUGACUUCCUAACAUAGCGGUUCACCAUACGUGCAUGCUACGGGAAUAACUAACCUCAACACAAGUAUUUCUAGAUUCACAACACCCUACUAACAUGACUCUAAUAUUACCGUAUCCAUAUCUCAAAACUAAUUGUGAGGAAUCAAACUUCUCUUUACUAAUCAAUGCACUUGAAUAUGGAAGUUUUUGUUAUAUCCUCUUUGGAUGCCUAUCAUCUUUAGGACUCUUUCAUAGCACACGCCAAUUACCAAGUUACUUAGAGAGAGCACUCUCAAAAAGAUAUAAGUGAAGAUCAAGAGUUUUUAUUUCUACAAAAUAUGACACCGCCGUGCUCUAAAAAUAUUUAAGUGAAGCACUAGAGCAAAAUUAUCUAGCUCAAAAGAUAUCAGUGAUACACAUGCAAGCUAAAUUGCCUAACUCAAAAGAUAUAAGUGAAGCUCAUUGAGUAAUCUAGAAAAUUCACGAUGAGUGCAUGUCCCUCUCAAAAAGGUUUGCAGCAAGGAUGAUUGUGACAAAACAAAAAGCAAAGACUCCUAUAAUACACAACGCUCCAAGCAAAACACAUAUCAUGUGGUGAAUAAAAAUAUAGCCCCAAGUAAAGUUACCAAUGGAUUGAAGACGAAAGAGGGGAUGCCUUCCCGGGGCAUCCCCAAGCUUAGGCUCUUUGGUGUCCUUGAAUAUGGCUUUGGGGUGCCUUGGGCAUCCCCAAGCUUAGGCUCUUGCCACUCCUUGUUCCAUAGUCCAUCGAAACUCUACCCAAAACUUGAAAACUUCACAACACAAAACUUAACGGGACUUCGUGAGAUGGGUUAGUAUGAUAACGAGCAAAUCAAUCACUUGGGUACUGUAGCAAACUUNNNNNNNNNNNNNNNNNNNNNNNNNNNNNNNNNNNNNNNNNNNNNNNNNNNNNNNNNNNNNNNNNNNNNNNNNNNNNNNNNNNNNNNNNNNNNNNNNNNNNNNNNNNNNNNNNNNNNNNNNNNNNNNNNNNNNNNNNNNNNNNNNNNNNNNNNNNNNNNNNNNNNNNNNNNNNNNNGCUGUAUAUUACUAAUUCCACAAGAUAUAUUACUCAAUAUAAUCUAUGGAAACACCAAAACAAGCAAACUAUGCAUUGAAAACAGAAUCUGUCAAAAACAGAACAGUCUGUAAUGAUAUGAAUGCUAACCAUACUUCUGCACCUCCAAAAAUUCUGAAAAAUUUAUGAAAAUUAGUUCAAUUUGCAUAUCAAUCAGCAGAAAAAAGCAUAAGCUCAAUAUAUCCCUCUGGAUAGGAAUGAAAAAUAAUUUCGUGAGCGCAAAGUUUCUUUCUUUUUCAGCAUGAUCAAACAACUAUCACCCAAACUAAUCAUAAAGGCUUUACUUGGCACUUUAUAGAAACUAAGGCAAUAAAACAUGAUUAAUACAGUAGCUUAAUCAUGUGAACACACAAAAAUAGUAAGGAUACAUAUUGGGUUGUCUCCCAACAAGCACUUUUCUUUAAUGCCUUUCAAGCUAGGCAUGAUGAUUUCAAUGAUGCUCACAUAAAAGAUAAUGAUCGAAACAAAAUGGAAGCAUCAUGAAGCAUAUGACUAGCAAAUUUAAUCCUAACCCUCUUCCUAUGCAUAAGGAUUUUGUGAACAAACAAUUUUUUAGAGCAAGAAUCAACUAGCAUAGGAAGGUAAAACAAGCAUAGCUUCAAAACUUUCAACACAUAGAGAGGAAACUUGAUAUUAUUGCGAUAUGUAGAAGCAUAUGAUCCUCUCUCAUAAUAAUUUUCAGUAGCAUCAUGAAUGAAUUCAACAAUAUAACCAGCACCUAAAGCAUUUUUUUCAUGAUCUACAAGCAUAGAAAUUUUACUACUCUCCACAUAAGGAAAUUUAUUCUCAUCAAUAGUAGUGGGAGUAUCGUAAAAGACUUGAACACUACGAAUUGUUUCCACAUUAAAAGAGUAAUGUUCAGUAAAAGGGUACUCAUAAUUGUGACAAGUUUUAUUAUCAUUAUUCUUUAUAGCAUAAGUAUCAUCACAAUAAUCAUCAUAGAUAGGGGGCAUGCUUUCAUCAUAAUAAUUUUGAACAUUUAAAGUGGGGGAACUAAAAAGAUCAUCUUCAUCAAACAUAGCAUCCCCAAGCUUGUGGCUUUGCAUAUCAUUAGCAUCAUGGGUAUUCAAAUAAUUCAUACUAACAACAUUGCAAUCAUGCUCAUCAUUCAGAUAUUUUAUGCCAAGCAUUCUAUGUAAUUCUUCUUCUAGCACUUGAGCACAAUUUUCCUUCCCAUCAUUUUCACGAAAGACAUUGAAAAGAUGAAGCAUAUGACGCAACCACAAUUCCAUUUUUUUGUAGUUUUCUUUUAUAGAAUAAACUAGUGAUAAAACAAGAAACUAAAAGAUUCGAUUGCAAGAUCUAAAGAUAUACCUUCAAGCGCUAACCUCCCCGGCAAUGGCGCCAGAAAAGAGCUUGAUGUCUACUACGCAACCUUCUCCUUGUAGACGUCUUUGGGCCUCCAAGUGCAGAGGUUUGUAGGACAGUAGCAAUUUUCCCUCAAGUAGGUGACCUAAGGUUUAUCAAUCCGCAGGACGCGUAGGAUGAAGAUGGUCUCUCUCAAGCAACCCUGCAACCAAAUAACAAAGAGUCUCUUGUGUCCCCAACACACCCAAUACAAUGGUAAGUUGUAUAGGUGCACUAGUUCGGUGAAGAGAUGGUGAUACAAGUGCAAUAUGGAUGGUAGAUAUAGGUUUUUGUAAUCUUAAAUUACAAAAACAGCAAGGUAACUAGUAGUAAAAGUGAACACGAACGGUAUUGCAANUUUCCUUGGAUGACUUUAUCAGCCCAUUAUACCUUAUUGCGCAUCGAAUAAACCCAUGUGGACCCCUUGGGACGUGGUGGGCCCACCCAGUGGGCUCCUGGAACCCAUUCGUCACUCUCGGUACACUCUCGGUAAUGCCCGAAAACUUUCCGGAAUCCAAACACCAACUUCCUAUAUAUCAAUCUUCGUUUCCGGACCAUUCUGGAAACCCUCGUGACGUUUGCGAUCUCAUCUGGGACUCUGAACAACCUUCGGUCACCAACACAUGUAACUCAACUAUACAAAAACAUCAUCGAACCUUAAGUGUGCAGACCUUGCGGGUUCGAGAACUAUGCAGACAUCACCCGAGACACUUCUCGGUCAAUAUCCAAUAGCGGGACCUGGAUGCCCAUAUUGGAUCCUACAUAUUCUACGAAGAUCUUAUCGGUUGAACCUCUGUGCCAAGGAUUCGUAUAAUCCUGUAUAACAUUCCCUUUGUCCUUCGGUAUGUUACUUGCCUGAGAUUUGAUCGUCGGUAUCCCUAUACCUAUUUCAAUCUCAUUACCGGCAAGUCUCUUUACUCGUUUCGUAAUACAAGAUCCCGUGACUCACACUUGAGUCACAUUGCUUGCAAGGCUUAUAUGUGAUGUUGUAUUACCGAGUGGGCCCCGAGAUACCUCUCCGUCACACGGAGUGACAAAUCCCAGUCUUGAUCCAUGCUAACUCAACGGACACCUUCGGAGAUACCUGUAGAGCACCUUUAUAGUCACCCAGUAACGUUAUGACAUUUGAUACACAUAAGGCAUUCCUCCGGUGUUAGUGAGUUACAUGAUCUCAUGGUCAUAGGAAUGAAUACUUGACACGCAGAAAACAAUAGCAACAAAAUAACACAAUCACAUGCUACAUUUAUAAUUUGGGUCUUGUCCAUCACAUGAUUCUCCUAAUGAUGUGAUCCCGUUAUCAAGUGACAACACUUGUCUAUGGUCAGGAAACCUUGACCAUCUUUGAUCAACGAGCUAGUCAACUAGUGGCUUACUAGGGACAUUGUUUUGUCUAUGUAUCCACACAUGUAUUUGUGUUUCCAAUCAAUACAAUAUAGCAGGGAUAACAAACUAUUAUCAUGAACAAAGAAAUAUAAUAAUAACUAAUUUAUUAUUGCCUCUAGGGCAUAUUUCCAACAGCUGACGCAGCGGAGAUUGAGGUGUAUUGCUACUCGGAAGAGUCAAUGGCCUUGGCGUAUAGUUUGGAAACACGGUGCAUUCCUUUCUUCAUAAAAUGACACAAUGUGCGACCCCUCCAGUAUCCCCCCUCUUCGCCUCCACGAAUGUCAAGCUCUAGUGACUCAUAUCCCGACAGAACUUCAUCCAUCCCGACUUUAGCAUAGCCAACUGAAAUCAGAUUGCAAUGGAUGGUUGCUCCAGGUGCACUCGGUAAAGCAAAGCCGACCGACACGUUCAUGGAUAUGUUCUUCAUUUUCCGGUAUAGCUCACAACUUGUCCUCUCUUUGAUUUCAUCCAUGGGGUAGCGAGCCAUUGUGGAACACAUGCUGCUUUUCCGCAUAGAUGGGACGACAGUAUCAUCCAAUGUUGGAUCUACUUGCUCCUGUCGUGGAGAUGCCGCCCUUUGGUGGCUAUUUGUGUGCAGUUUCUCCUGUUGUCGUCUUACAAUGUGGUAUAACUCCUCGUAAUUUCUUUCUACCCUGUGAAUACGGUCUACAUCUUGCUUCUGCUUCCUCUAAAAGUAGUAUGGUUAGUUUAAUCCGAGCUCAACUAAGGACAAGCGACGGGACCUACUUAAAUAGUCGGGUAGUCCAAAUGUUGUAACCUUCGGCCCUCAUUACACUCUCAAGGAUAUGGGUUGUCAUUGUGAAUCUUCACAUGUUGCAAGCAGAGAAGGUCCACAAUGACACUCUAUAUUCUUAAUGAGAACAAUGAUGGUUGUCGGCUCCUUUUAUUAAUGUUGUUAAAUUAUUUUUGUCUGUUACGUAUGUAUGAGAGUAAUGAUCCAAUUGUUUAGAUCCUCGAAAAAUCGUACGAUACAGUAAAUCUCCGAGGUAGUCUUUGGGUAUGGUAAAAGUUUGGCGCAUUUCAAAAAAGCCUUCCCUAAGGGCGCUUGCAAGUUGCACCAUCUCCGAGGUAGUCUUUGGGUAUCGAGAGAAAAUGUGUCCGCUUGGUGAAAAGAAGUGUGGUUCAUAUUGCUUCCUUGGUCUCAAAACUUUUCAUUCUCUCAAAGAAGGCCACCGCAUGACACGUGUCAGUCCUCGGUAUUUUCUGGACCCGCCUGCAGUAUUUGAUAAAUUUGUUAUAUUGCUACAGUUUCAGCGUCAAAAAUGACAUGUCUAUAAUAUUUAAGAUAAUGAUAUUAUUGUUACAUCUGUUUUUGAUGAUGGGUUACAUGAAAAAGAUGCAUAAAUGUUCUACUAUUUUUUGCAAAGAGUCCCAAUAAGCAAGGUUACCUUUUCCAAGAACCCCACGCUAUAAGGUUACCUUUUUCGAGAACUCCACACGACAAGUUUACCUUUUUUGAGAACCCUCUCGGUAAAACUGAUAACCUAGAUCUAGGUUUGAGGGAUUUUUUCCGAGUUUUCCACUCGACAAGGUUACCUUUUCCAAGAACCCAUCUCGGUAAAAGUGAUGACCUAAAACUAGGUUUGGUGGAUCUUUUCCAAGUUUCCACCGACAAGCGCUCCGAAAAGCCAGCGCCAAACACUUAACUAAAAUUCCCCGCGCUCUCUCUCCUCAUUCGCGCGCGGGAGCUCUUUCGCCUUCUCUUCAAUCCGCCACCGCCUCCUCCCGCUCCUCCCGGCCGCUGGCGUCCUCACUCGGUCAGCAACACCGACAACCUCCCUUCUGCUCGGUUGUUACCUCCUUCGGCCGGCCACACCAGCGCCCACCCACCGCCUGAUUGCCUUCUCCUUCGGCUAGCCUUCACUCGUGUCUCCUCGGCUGGCCCCAUGGGCACCGCAUCGCCCAUCCGCCUCCUCCUCCGGACGGUCUCCACCCGCGCUCCCCCUCGGUUGGCCUCCAUCGAUGCCCCCCUCUGUCGGCCCUCACUGUGAAUUUUUGUUGUUUUUGACUUUUAGUAGUUUUUAUUAGUUUAUUUUGUAGUAUUGUUAAUUAGAUGUGGUAGUUUUUGUAGUAAUUUUUUUAGGUGUUUAUUGUAGUAGUUUUAGUUAUGUGGUAGUUUUUGUUUUGUAGUGGGUUUUGUGUAUGCGGUAUGUGUCCUGACUUCGAGUACAACACUCCGAUAGAAGUGAGCGCAUGUCCACCAUAUUAGACAGAUGAGAGAUGUUUUGAGAGAAAUGGUAUCAACUAUUGCCGUAGGUGUCGCUCUUCCUCUACUCCUCUGAUAUCCUCCAAAUGGGGGUCGUCAACUGAGUGGAAUCCGUCAGAGCCAUCACACACCAAGGGCGGCACUGAAGCUGCUCCCUCCCAACCGGGCGGCAUCGCGCCUACUUCCUCUCCAGAUCCAGCGGCCAUAUGAGAUGCAAUGCAUCCUCCUGACAAGACUGUCAUGCCCGUCGUCCCCGCGGUAGUUUCGCCCGUCGUAGCCUCCCGAUGGGUCACCGAAGCACCCCGCUACAAGCCCGCUCAAGCUCACCUUGCGCCCGCUCAGUUCGUCGCAUCGACAAACCUUAAAGACGCUCGCAUCGGCCUUUGAAGACCCGGCUUGCCUCACCGUCAACAAGGGCGUGGAGGUGUGUGCCGAGCGAAGAGCCCCCAUCUCCUCAUGGACAACCUCUACCUCGACCUUGUCGCAUUCACCCCCCUCCCCCCGCCUCGUCGUCGGCAACGACGACCUCUCCGGCUCUCCCCUGCACCGCCUCACGGGACAAGAAUAAGAGUGUGGAGGGGGGAUCUACCAAGCGAGUGAGUGAGAGAGUACUUCAACGUCCUCGUUCGUGUGUUUUUCGUUCAAAGCGAACGCUUGCUUGAUGCUGACGUGGCAGGAGACCUGCGCCAAGAUGCGAGCCACCAAAUCCAAAGGUUCGCACAUAGUUCGCCGGAAAAUCGUUCCUGGCGAACGUCGACCAGUUAUCAUUACCCUUUGUCAAAUUCCUCACCCCGGAACUCGGGAGACCGGUGCGCCUCGCGUCCAUGCCCAACCUGCUGCCGCCGCCCGGCGCCGCCCAGCGGCUCCUCGCCCCGACCGUCCCUCACCUCGCCCGCCUCCUCCUCGCGCACGCGCCGGCGAUCCCGCCGCUCCUCACCGCCAUCCUGCCCGCCUCGCCUUCCCUCCUCACGCCGCUCCUCUCCCACCUCCUGCUCUCCCACUCCCCACCCCUCCCGGCGCUCUCCCUGUACCGCCGCGUGCUCGAGCUCCCCCAUUUCCCCGUCCCGGAGAGCUCCCUCCCCGUCCUCCUUNNNNNNNNNNNNNNNNNNNNNNNNNNNNNNNNNNNNNNNNNNNNNNNNNNNNNNNNNNNNNNNNNNNNNNNNNNNNNNNNNNNNNNNNNNNNNNNNNNNNNNNNNNNNNNNNNNNNNNNNNNNNNNNNNNNNNNNNNNNNNNNNNNNNNNNNCCGCCGCUACGCGCACCACUCCUUCCAGCUGCUCGAGUCGCUCCCGUCCACCCGCCCCCACCUCCUCUCCGUGCCCGCCCUCUCCGUCAUCCUCUCCACGGCGCUCUGCGCCUCCGCUCCGGGCGCGUCCUUCGCGGCCGCCGUCAGCUGCUUCGAGUCCGCCGCCGCCGUCUGGGCGCGCGCGGGGCGCUCGUUCGGCGCCGCCGAGCUGAACGCGCUGCUCCGCGUCUUCUGCGCCCGGGGCCGCGUCGCCGAGGCGCGCGCGCUGUUCCACCGGUACCGGGACGCGUACCCGCCCGACACCCGCACCUUCAACACGCUGCUGCUCGGGUUCAAGGAGGCCGGCCACGCGCAGGCGCUCGACCUCUUCUACCAUGACGCGGUGCUGCGCGGCUUCGUCCCGGACGCCGUGUCCUACUGCGUCAGGAUGGACGCCUACUGCAAGAAAGGCAGGUUUCUGGACGCCCUCCAGCUGCUCGACGAAAUGCGCAAGAGGGACAACUGCAAGCCCACGCUGCAGGUUUUCACCACGCUGAUAUACGGGGCUGGGAUUGUGAGGGACGCGGCCCGUGCACGCCUCCUGUUUGACGAAAUGGAGCAGUGCGGAGUGACUCCGGACCGUGGAGCUCACAAUGCGCUCAUGGGGGCCUAUGUGAGGGCAAGGGAUUUGCAGUCCGGGAUGGCGCUCAUGAGCGAGAUGGAGCAGAAAGGUUUUGGUCUGGACGAUGUCACCUACAACACUAUGCUGUGUGGGUUCCAGAGGGCUGGUAACUUGGAGGGGAUCUGGAAGAUAUAUGGCAAGAUGAUUGGCUCAGGGUUCAUGCCAAGAACCAGGACAACAAUGUUGCUCAUGAAAGUCUUUUGCGAGAAUGGGCGACCGGAUCUUGGCCUUGAGCUGUGGGAUUAUCUGAUCGGUAAAGGAUGUGUACCUCAUAGGCAUGCUUUGGAUGUUCUGGUUACUGGUUUAUGCUGCAGAGACGUAGUUGGUGAAGCAUAUAGGUGCUUUCGGGAGCUGGUUGAGAUGGGAAUGGCGCCAACAGAGCGUGCAUUUCGGGUUUUGGAAGGGUUUUUGAAGAAGAAGCGGGAGUUUGGGAAGGUUGAUGAGAUUAGGCAAAUGAUGAAGGCAACCCAGUCACAGGAGCAUCAAGCUGAAGAAAAAGCUGCUUGAAGCUAUCCACCGUCUUGUGAUUCCUUUUGAAAGGAAGCAUAUUUAUUUCUUGGACCGUGUAAAAUUUCCAAGCCGGCAUGGUUUAGCAAAGGUCUCUGUUUAUACCCUCUGAUAUCGAGGUUGAAAUGUUGGCUGUUGCAAUGAACAAACUUGAUUUGACUGGGACCGACAAGGAAUAAAGAGCUAGGCUUGCAAUAACCUAACUCUCUUUGACUGGGACAAAGAGGGAAUAAUAAGAUAGCCCCAAGCCGCCAAUUUGAGAGAAAGAUAUGUAGAUUGGAGAAUCUUUGAGUUGCUAAAGAGUUUGAGACACUGAGAAGGAAUUUUUGUGGAGCCAGGUGCCACUAGAGAAACUGAAGAUUCCAGUUCUGCAGAAAAUGUUUGCUUAGCCUUUACCAAGGGAAUGAAUGCACUGGAAGUCUAGAAUUGAUACAAUAUAUUGAUAAGUUCACUCCGAUUUAUUCAUUGUCGUAACAAUGGUCCAAAGUUCUGCUGAAUUAUAUCUUUCAGAUUUAAUGGUGACAUGAGUUUUCUUCUCUCCCAGCCACAUAAUUCUUGUACAAAACAAGUGUAUUAGUAUGCUCAGCAUUUCAUUGCAGUCAUUCAGAACUAAAAGACUGUAGCACCGACUUGGAAAAGUAAUCACAAAGCUGAAUUUUGUCUUCCUUUGGUUGAUGCACAACUGAAUUUCUGUUUCUACUCUGUCAACUCAACAGCCAGUAUCGAUGGUAUUUUCUCUCUCAGUUUUUGUGUUACAGCUACACGUACUGUCAUUACACCUGCUGCAGGCCCACUGAUUUGAAUCUUGACGACGAAACCAUCGAUCUGAACAAGGUCUAAGCUUCCACCUCCGGUGCCGGAAAGGUACGGCCUGAUCUCAUCUAGCACCUACAAACAUCAUACAAACUUCAGAUUCACAGUUUGAUCAAUAAAAAGACCAUCUAAACUGUAACAUGAUUUUACAGGCUCAGAAAACAGAUCAGUAGCAUGCCAAAUGGAGCAUUGAUCAGUGAGUGAGCACACAGACACAAGUAUCUGGCUGACCUUCUCGACGUUCUCGGUGUUGAGCUCGAGCCCGGUCUCGGUGUCAUGGAUUUGCUCGACCUCAAGAAUCUCGGGGAUCUUGUCGCGGAGGCGGGACUCGAUGCCCAUCUUGAGCGUCAUGGUGGAGCUGGGGCAGGAGCCGCAGGCGCCCUGGAGCAUGAGCACGACGACGAGGCCGUCGAUCUCGUGCAGGGCCACGUUGCCUCCGUCCCGCAUCAGGCUCGGCCGCACCUCGUCCAGCACCCUCUCCACGUUCUCCUCCGUCAGGGGAAGCACCCGCACCGCCCACCCUUCAGGUACCAAUCAAUCAACACAUGUUUAAUCAAUCCAACAAUUCUGGCAAUUACAAUACUUCUCAUGGAUGGUGUAGCUGUAAAUUUUUUUCCUUUUGUGCACGGACCUGCUCUCCUGGCGCGGUGGUUCGGUGUCUGCAGCGACGCGUGGCCGAAGCUGAGACGGCCAUGGAUAAGGGAGCUUGAAGAACUCUGUGCAUGACAGCACAAUUAGGAUCGGUCAGUGCAGCAAGGGGAGAGGAAAUGGUUGGAGAAUAAGAGGCUGCGACGAGUGGAAGUGCGCACCUUGCGGAGAGCUCCUGCAAGGGGGGCGUUGGCGCCGCCGGCGCCGGCAGCGGCUUGCCGGAGAUUCGGCGAGCAGAGCCUCAUCUGAAGCCGAUUUUGCUUGCUAGCCGCGAGGGUUUGCGUGGGUGUCGUGGAUGUCGUCCGGCCAGCCGUAGGCAGGCAGGCAGGCAGGCUCACCCGUUCGUGAUUCCUUUUCGCUUCCUGGAUGUGGUUCACCUUGGUUUCACCCACCAUGGUGAAGGUUCGUUGGGCCUAAUGUGGUCCAUCAUCAUCUACAAGGCCUAGGGCCCAUGACCGAAUCCAAAAGCCUACCGAAAAGGUACGCCUAGUAGACUCUGCAAAAAAGAAAAAUCUUCAAAAAAGAAGGUAGGCUCUGAAAAACAAAUCCCUAGAAAAAUGCAUCCUGUCUCUGGACAAAGGCGGUUUUUUCACUGUGCAGUAUGUGUAAAGCGCAGAAAACGGUGGAACCCAGUCCAUCUCAAACUAGACCAAAUCAUUGAUGCGCUCACAGUUUUUUUCUGUCCGCAGAGAGAGUAAAGGCGACCAUGAAGCAUAGGCAUGACGACGGUCACAGAUAAGAUACCCAUAUCACCACGCCCUGAAACGCACUUUGCGAUCCGUCCACUACGAGCGAGGAGCCAGCAGAAAAAAUUAGGCCGGGAAAGGUCCAAAAGGCCGCCAAUAAUCUAUGCCCAAACCCGGGGGCAUCCAAGGGCCAGCGCUGGUAGAGUAGCACGUAUAUGUGAACACCGUUCAGAAACAAAAACGUAUGCGAACACCGACCGGGACAGGGGGUGCCACGGGGUGGUGGUGUGGUCCAUGUGAUCCGUCCGUCCAGCCAGUUUGAUGUUGUUUGUGCUGGCCACCAAGCGCACACACACAGCACGCACGUACGCACGCACGUAGGCAAGACUCAUCAAGAGAUUGCCCGGACGACGAGGACAGCGAGGAAAGGGAUCGGCGGCAGGUAGCCUGUCGGGCGGGGCGAGCGCGACAGUCGGCUCGCCAUUAUUUGGCCGCUGCCCGCCGGUGCUGCUCCUUAUUUGGCCUCUCUCUCUCUCUCUCCCCCUACCACCACGCCCGAUUCUCCAGAUCUCCCACCACCAGCAGCAGCAGCAGCAUCGGUCACAUGGUCAGCCCCGUUCCUCCUCCAGCAUCCGGCUUUUGUUUUCCGAGAGCACGCAGGCAGGAGAUCAGCUGCGCGCCACGGGCGGACACAUGGGCUGGCCAGAGAAUUUUCCUUUCGAGAAAAGGAAACAAGCCUCCGCGUUUCGACGCAUCGAAUGGCAUGGAGAUGAUGUGGUCGUCGAUGGGCCACCGAGGCGGGACACGAGACGUAUCUGUGUAAGCAAGAAUUGUCAAAGGAAAUUGAACUGAACAUUUUGUUAAUACGCGUGUACCUUUCUUCACAAGUUGGCCACCCGUAUAUAGCUAGUCUUUCCUGAAAGGAACCAUCGAAUAUCUGGUCUGGGACUGGGAGCGCAACGAGGGCCAGUAGAUCGUUCUCGAAGUUAUCCACAAAGGUUGAUGCUGCCUGUCUGACCCCGGGCGGUACGUGGAUGGCCGUGAGCCCGUGACGUUGCGAUGUUCCUUUCCAUGCUAGAUAUUUGCUUGUCUGAUAUUGGGCAUAUGGUAUGGGGGCUGCUGGACAAAAAUGUCUGUUAGAUUCCCACCUCAUGUCAUGGUACAGUAUUAAUGUCAAGUGCUAGUAGCUUUAUUCAUUCAUUCAUUCUAUUCUACGGACGCAAUCACACGAAUCAGGACCGGACCCGUGCCGCGUAAGUUACUACUCUACUUGGUGUUGUAUAAUUCAGAACCUAACCAACAAGAUUGGGCUCAUCAAUGAACACCAACCUGAACAACACGAGACAGGGUCAACAGUGUCAUCAUGCCAUGGAGUAUAUCUCCAAGUGCAAAUCCUUUUCGGAACAGUGACAGUCUGAUAGCAUCCAGAAUCCUUUCCUUGGUGGAAAAAGGAGCACGAGAAGGGAAUGCAGUUUGGGGUUAGAGUGGAUAGAAAGUAACAUGGCCGGACCCCGGCAUUAAGUUUUGUGAUGAGUUGUCGACAUAGGAUUCUCGGACAGCCAAGUAGUGAUGGGCAGCGCAAUCUUAUCCUACGUUGUACUGUGCUACUACCAUCCUAUGUUACGCAUGCACCACUAGCACAUCUGAAGAGAGAGAGAGAGAGAGAGAGAGAGAGAAAACAUAUUAUUAAAACUCCAGAUUAAGUCGUUCCCAGAAAAAUCUUGUUGCUUAGCCCGGGAUACCGUUGAAGCGUUCAUAUCAUAUGGUGAUCGAGGCUGCCUUAAAUCAAGGCAUGGAUGGAUCCAUCAAGGUAACUAGGUGAGGGCAGGGAAACAACAAGGAAAAGUCAAACCAUAUGGAAUCUGGACCCCCAAAUCAAAUCACCAACUGAUCAUUGAACAGCCUAGCUACUGUUAAGUCAACCCAGGCGUGAUUUAGAUGAAGAGGAGAGGUUAGUUUAGUACCUUGUCGGUGCAAUCAGGGGAUUAACAAAGGCCUGGCUUGAGAUACGGGCGUCCUAGAAUCCUGGGAAGGCAGGGAUCGAACAUGCCGAAACAGCAGCAGCAGCACAUCAACGGCAACAACAGCCUGUUCAUCCAGGGUUAAAAAUAAAAGAAAACGCAAAGUUAGGCAAAGGGGCUUGCAACUCACAUCACAUGGAAUCUCAAACGGAGAUUUACUUUUCUUCAGUCCUCCUGGUGGCCAGGCCCCAGGGGCCGGGGCUGUGACGACGACUCGCCAAGGACAUCAGCAGCAGCAGCAGCCGAGGAUAACUCCUUGCAGCGGGCCCACGGUAUCUGCAGAUCUACUACUACUAGUACUACAAACUGCAAACAUGUGAGGAUAUGUCUGGCCUCGCUUAUCCUAUAUCAGAGUGGGGGUGGGGGGUGGCGAUUUGAAAACACCUUGGUAUCUUUAGUCCCGGCAAGGCCUGCGUGAAAUAUCUACUCCACAUGCAUGUAGGUUGGCCUCCCUCCUCCUUGUGUUCAUUAAACCAGCGGAGAUUUGGCCGCCCCAUUGGCGCUUCCCUGAUCCUUCCUUCCUUGAGCUGAGCCUGCCCGGUCUGUUAUAAACAAGUAUACUUGUCUGCCUCCUGCCAACGAUCUCAAAUCCUCGGCUUUUGCCUCGUUGCAUCCUGCAUCCUGCUCCUGCUCCUGCUCCUGCUUAGCCACCGCACAGCCUGUCUCGAGCCUUUGCAUUGCUGCCUUUCCUCCCCUUUUGGUUGGCUCGCCUAUUGUUAUUCCUACAAAAGGAUGCGGUCUGCUUCAUGGGCAUGAGGAGGAGAGGGAGCCUUGCUGCUGCGUCCAGAUUCCGGAGCUUCUCCAUCGCAAUUCUCCCAUGCUCGGUCGCUGCCCGCAGCUUCGAAAUGAGUAAUGGGUGCUGAGGAGAGCUUGCGCCCGUUGUCGUUGCCCUUGCUGGUGUAUGGAGGUUCCCGGUGCUCAUGAGCCAUAACAGAAGUCCAGAGGAGAGUGAAGAUGCGAGAUAAGCAGCUGCAUCAUGAGUCGCCGAUGUUCAGGUGAGUGAAUCUUCAUGUCAACUGCUGCUCUAUGUCUGGUUUCGCAGACGCUGUGUUGGCCCAUCCAUCCAGCAUCGGCUGCUUUCCCUCUAUCCCUGCAAUCAAGCAUAUGAUAAUUACCUUGCAUGUUGUAGAACUAACUCUGGUUGCGGUUUAAAGAGUAUAUCAUGCGAUAAUUCACUUACCAUGCAGACAAUAUUGGUGAUAAGCCUGACCUUUCCCUCUGACUGUUUCAGGAAUGGCUACUGAUUUGUUUCGUACUCAUAGGAUCCUCUUUGCCCUGUUGGAGAAAGGAGGAAUAAACAUCAUUAGAGAGCUAGAAAGUAGAGGUUCUGUUCAGAAACUAGCCAAAAUAUUGCUGAAAGCUAGUGGGGGAGGGCUUUUGAACGACAUCUUGGCAGAUAUAAUGGACAGGUAUUCCAAACACGACAGCAAGGAAUCACUUCGGAGAACAAUCAUGGAACAUGAUGAGGUCUUCAGACAACAGGUAACAAGUAGUUAUGUUAUUCAUAAUUCAUCUCAUAAAGCACCAGAUUUACAAGACAUCUAUAUAACAUUGAGAAUUUGAGAUUGGGAAAAAAAUCAAAAGCGAGGAACUUAAAGUUCAAAUACCAGAAUAGAUCUUUAGAUUCUUCAAUUUGCAAUAUACGUUUGUAGUCAUCAGUGAGAAUGAUUAACAUGUGUUCUACCUUCAUGAUAUAAUGCAGUGCAUAGUGCUGUUAACCUGCAUAGUCAUUCAUCUGAAAACCAACUAUUACGAUGUUCUGUGGUUGUCUUGUCAGUCUGCAACUCAGAUUUUUUACAUUCCUGUUUUCUUGCGUCAGGUGCAUGAAUUGCAUCGGCUAUACAGGGUACAGAAAGCACUGAUGGCUGAAUUACGUGGCGAGAAGCACAGUUUCCAACUCAGAACAGAAGAUACUCGAGAAAUGGUGCAGGGCCACAGGCCAAACCUCAAGAAUAGCUCUUGUACGUCAGAGACUAGUCAAUCUGCUUGUCUUGGAAACGCGCAGUACUCUGAUACUAGGCAAGUACCUGAACAGUCGUUUCUUCAAGAAUGCAAGCCCGUCUCAUGCUUAAACCUCUUCGAUGAAGAAACUUCAAGAAGCCAAGAGAGAAGACCAGAAAGCAGUAAAUCAGUUGAAGGUGAAAGUUGGAGUGUUUCUAUGGAAGGUGAUCUCGAUCUCAAACUAAGCAUUGCCCCCAGUUCAAAUGCAACAAAAGCACCACACUGGCUCUUCUCCGACAGCAGGGAAAGAAACCCUUCUGGUCAGCAUCGAUGACAAAUUGACAACCAAUUGGCAUCCCAGAUCAGUUGGUUUCAUGGUGCAAGAAGCAGAUGUUAACACUUCCAAGCUAUCUCAUAGCAUAUCAUAUCUCCUUGACAUGCUGGCCUCAAAUUUUGGUCUGAACUAAUACCUCAGACAUGAGUAAUUUGUAUGCGGAAUUCUAGAGCUUCUCAGGCUGUCAAGCACAAGGACUUGCUAGGAGCAAAUUAAUGUAACACCAAGAUAGCAAAGUAUUGGCAGCAAUUCAUUUCUUAUUUGUCCUCUCCCAUAAUCCAGAAUGAAAGAGACAUUAGCAAGUAGAAAGUGACCUGACUUCUGUCCUCCUGCAAUAGUUAUGUCCACCAAUGCUCCAAAAGGAAUUCUUGCUAACAUAUACCGUGGGCAGUGUUUCUCUAUUUGCAUUUGCUUUGUUUGUCUGGAUCAUUCAAUGUAAGUUAAAGUAGUGAUCAAACACCCAGGUUAUUUAUGACCCAAACAUUGCCAGCUUAGGUCUGCAUCAUGUAACAAAUCGUAGCAAAUUAGCCAAGCCAAAACUGCUCUCGAACCAGAUAUUGCACACUGAAGUUAUCUUAUCCCGCUAUUUAAUAUUGUGUGCAAAUGCUCAAGAAACAAGCCAAAUAAACAAUUUAUUACAUGGAGCAUUAAUCAAUCACGUUCCUGUUUUCUGCCAUAUUUUGUUGAACUAUUGCUGCUUUUCUUCUUUCACCAGAAUCCACCACAUGAGCAUUCUCCGUCUUUGAAAUGAUGGAAUCUCAUAUUGUCCCUGACUAUAAUCUCAGCCUGCUCAACUCUUGAGGCAAGUCGCAUAAACAAAUGGCAAUCCUCGCAGAUCCUUAGAUUUUUUACUAUUCGAAUUGUGCAUCUAGAUCCAAGAGUUAGCAAUCCAAACGACAGAGCAAGUUUCUCACUGUGACCCAUUAACAGCCUUUCUUUCUCUCCAUCACUCACAUCAUAAACAAUAGAAGUCAGGACUGGCACAUAACCAGCAUGCUUCAAUUUCACACCUAGCUCUGAUAAUGCCUUCUUUAUUUCAUUGGUCCUUGGAUGAGAAUUGUCACCAGCAAAGAACUGAUGGACCAAACCAUCUCUGCCUUCAAACGAGCUCACGGCAGGAUCCUUUUUCAGUCCCCGGCUUCUCAUCAGUUUCCGAACCUGUGAGACUUCCUCCCACUUUCCUGCCGAUGCAAGUGUAUUCGAUAACAGCACGUAGUUCCCUAUACCCUCUGGCUCAAGCUUAAACAGAUGUUCAGCUGCAACCUUGGCAACCUCAGUAUUCCCAUGGAUCCGACAAGCCCCAAGCAGCGCUCCCCAUACACCGCCAUGAGGCUCUACGGUCAUUGACUUCACAAGAUCUAGAGCUUCGUCCACCAAUCCAGCCCGACCAAGCAAAUCGACCAUACAAGUAUAGUGAUCUGGAGAUGGCAAUAUCCCAUAUUUGUCCUUCAUCUGUGCAAAGUAGAAGCGCCCAUCUCUGACCAUCCCUGCAUGGCUGCAAGCUGUCAAUAACCCUAUAAAGGUCACAUGGUUGGGCACCACAUCGGCCCUCCUAACCAUGUCCUUGAACAAAGCAAUUGCCUCUCUAGCCCUCCCAUGAGAUGCGAGACCAACAAUCAUUGAGCUAUAUGUGUAAACAUUCUUCUCCUGCAUCCCGUCAAAAACGCUGCGUGCUUCAUCAAUUAGUCCGCACUUGGCAUACAUAUCCACCAACCCCGACCCGACAACCACAUUCUGCCCAAAGCCAUUCCUCUCUGCGAUCUCCUGAACCCAGGCAGCGCGCCUCACCGCGCCAAGCUGAGCACAAGCUGAGAUUGCACCCGUCAAUGAGACCUCGUCAAUGCCCAUGCCAAUGGUGGCCAUCCGAUCAAACACUUCCAGUGCCUUGGCCGGCAUGGAAUUUUGAGCAUACCCGGUGAGCAUGGCUGUCCAUGCCACCAUGUCCUUCAGCGGGCACUGCGCAAACACCUCCUCUGCGGAACCCAUGUCCCCGCUCCUGGUGUAGGCCACCACAAUGCUCGUCCAGGAUAUGACAUCCUUGACCACCAUUUCAUCAAACACCUUCCGUGCGGCACCGACGUCGUUGCAGGUGACGUAGGCGCCGAUGAGCGAGUUCUCAACGAACCGGUGCUUAUCGAACCCGCCGAGGAGGAUGGAGACCGCGUGGGCGGCCUGGGCGGCCGGGAGGGAGCGGGCGGCCGCGGCGGACUUGGCGAGCGGGGAGAAGGCGAACGGGAGGAAGGGGAGCUCGCCGCGGGGAAUGUGGAGGAGGCGGGAGAAGAGGCGGAAGGGGCUCAGCGGCGGCUGCGUGAGGAGCGCGAAGCGGAGGAGCGCGGCGGCGAGGAAGGGGUCCGGGGGAGCGUGCGUGGAGAAGACGGAGAGCGCGUAGGGGAGCGGCGCGUGCGGGGGCGGGAGGGCGGCGAGGCGGCGGAGGAGNNNNNNNNNNNNNNNNNNNNNNNNNNNNNNNNNNNNNNNNNNNNNNNNNNNNNNNNNNNNNNNNNNNNNNNNNNNNNNNNNNNNNNNNNNNNNNNNNNNNNNNNNNNNNNNNNNNNGAGGCGGCGGAGGAGGCGGGAGAGGAGGUAGGGGAGGGAGUGGGGAGGGAGCGGCACGCGGACGAGCAGCCCGUGGAGGCUGCGGAGGUGUCGGAGGGACGGGGAGGCGUCGACGGCCGCGUGGAGGAGCGAGGCCAGCGCGGGGGGCGGGAGGAGGGGCAGCGGCAGCCCGGUGGGGAGCGGCGGCUGCGGGGCGCGGAGGAGCAGCGCGGGCGGGGGACGCGGCGGAGCCAGGUGCACCAUGCCGGCAUUGGUUGCCCGUGCGGCACGGCGCGCGGCGAGCGGUGUUCUGGGAGACGGUGCCCGGCGAGCUGCACCUGCACGCUUCGCGGCACGCCGCGGUUUCGGCGGUGGCUGGUUUCGAAAACGCGCGGUGUUUCGCGGGAGGCGGCGCGGCGGCGCGAGGCAAACUGUUGAAACGACGGAGCAGAGCAGCGCGGCCGUUUUUUCCCGAGCGACGCCGGACAGGAGGACUUUGGGCCUCGUCAUUCGCGGUCUGCCUGUAUAUAUGCGCUGGUCACAAGAAAUUGGGCUGGGUUGGUCUUAGGUAUUUCUUUCGGUGUGUUUUGCUGGAGCCCAAUCCAAUGGCAAAUCCUAUUUGGAGCUGCAGGCGUCGGUUAUAGUGCAAUUUCCCUAACCGGCGCCUGCAGCCGGGUGAGCUGGCCUCAGCCCAUAUAGUCCCCUUUCUGUCGCAAAAUAGAGCACAACUAGGAUACGAUCUUACGAUCUCUUAAGCAUUCGGGCGAUGGAAUAACCAUUCGACCAUGGACCAUCAGUUGCUCUUCUAUCGCUUCUUCCUUCUUUUUUACUAGCACGUCUUUUUCCUUUUUCCAUUUUUUCUAUCUUUUUUUAUUUGGAAGGGUUUGUUUUGUUUUUUAUAUUUUUUGUAACGUAAGAGAAAAUAACAUUUGUGUUGUCGACGAUGGUCUUAAUGUUCACACGACGAAAACGCAUUUGAAUGUACAUUUGUUUCUCCCACGAGAUUUUUUAAAGGUGUGCAUGUGUGGUUAACGAUGUUUUCUUUCCUCUCAAUUUGGUUUUAAUUUAAUGUAUGUUUAUUGCAAUUCGUAUUAUUGGCAAAAAGAGAGAAAAAAAGAUCAUGCACUACAGAUUAAGUUUGCACCAAAAAUAAUAUUUAAGAAGUAUUCAACAGCUAAAAAUAACAUCCUACUUAUAUUCUACACAUUUUUUAAUCAAAUUUCAUAUAUAACAUGUUAAAAUCGUAGUUACGGUUUAAAAGAUACGGAUAAUUUUGUUUUAGAUAAAAUGUGGACUGAUUAACUGAAAAGUCAGGUUUUUUUGUUAAAACGAAAAAAACUUUUCGGCUGACUUAAAUACGGAGGGCGGGUUGAUUACCUGAAACAUCAGGGAGGUUUCUGAAAAAUGCAAAAAACGAUUCGUUUUCUGACUUAAAUCUGGACUGCGUGUUGAUUACCUGAAAUAUCAGCGGGAUUUCUGAAGAAUGUAAAAAAGAUUCGUUUUCUGACUUAAAUCCGGACUGUGGGUUGAUUUCAGAAAACGUUAUGGGCUUUUUUGUAAAAGUGGCAUGACGCACGCCCGAAGCAGUCGGUGCUUUAUCAUUAGGGAGAGACUUUUCUUUGUUCUUUUUUAUUUGGAACAAUUUUUUUUUGGUUUUUGUUCUUUUAUUUUUUAAAUUUGAUGAACUCUUUUUAAAACUUCAUGAACAUUUUUUUCAAAAUUUGUGAACUUUUUUCAAAUUCGAUGAACUUUUUUAAAAAAAUGAUGAUUUUUUUUAUCAAAUUGAUGAACUUUUUUUCAUAAUACAUGAUUUUUUUCUAAAAUCUGUGAACUUUUUUCAAAUUCGAUGAUUUGUUUUUAAAUGAUGAGCUUUGAAUAAAAUGCGAUGAAUUUUUUUCAAAAAUUGGUGACCGUUUUUCAAAAAAUGAUGAACAUUUAUAAAAUUUGAUGAACUUUUUUUAAAAAUAGAUGAACGUUUUUUAAAAUACGAUGAAUAUUUUUUCGGAGUUGAUGAACUUUUAAAAAAAAUUGGUGAACGUUUUAAAAAAAAUGAUGAACUUGUUUUAAAAAUGGGUGAACGUUUUUUUAAAUACGAUGAACGUUUUUUCGGAAUUGAAGAACUUUUUUCAAAUUCUAAUAAACUUUCUUUAAAUUCGUGAAUUUUUGUUCUUUUAAUAAAUCUAUGAACUUUUUAAUUUACACAACAUAUUUAAAAUUGUAAAAAAUCAGAACCAGUCUUUUUCCUGAACCAAUAACACAUCACAUCCGUAAAAAACCAACAAGCCUAGCAAAAGCGAACGGUAGUGGAUUUACUUAGUGGGCCGCGGCCCGUUGCUGUACCCGCUAGUUUUGUGGUCACUCAAAAUUUUGUGGUCUGGGCAGUUUUUUUUUUCUUUAUGCGAGAUUCAAUUUUUUUCUCAUGACAAAAAUGUCGAUGUUGGUCUCAAAUCUAACACCCAUUGUACUAAAUCGUAAAUCCCACAUCACAACUUGCGCUACGCUAUUACAUUCUUGUUGCUCAAGAAGUUCUUCAUUUUCGAAGAAAAAUAGACCCUCGUCCAUCCUCAACUCAAGCAAAUAUUAUUCUUCUAAAAAGUUAUGACAAUGUCUAUUGUGAAAACAAUGAAUUAACAUUUCAUCUACAUUCGUCAUCUUCACGGUGUUGGAUAAUGACAAAAUCCUUCUUGAUACCAUACUUCACUAGCUUCCCAUUAGGCUCUUCUUUCCACACUCAUUUGCAAAUGUUAGGUCCACCUCUCCUCUUACCACCUUGUGUACCCCACUUCCCCACAUGGAGCGAAGAAAAUGAUCAUCCCUUUGACUUCUACUACUAAAAAUGUCAUCAAGGGUCACAAGAAUUGUAUAUCAAAUGAUCGUUGACGGGUCAUGGAUGGGUGGUCUCUCACCACAUUGUCUCCCACCCUGGUGGGCUGGGCCGCGGACCCCCAUAUCGGUUCAUCAGCGGGCCACUUGAAGGCUGCCCAUGACAUGUGAAAGGAAGAUUCCUAGAGGUUUGACGUAUACUUUAAGAUAUUGGAAGUUGUCUACACCAUGUUCUCCUUGUACGUAAUCGACUAGGUUGUAACCUUAGAUCCAUUGGUGUCUAUAUAAACCGAGGGCAGGGCUUGUUGACAACACACAACAAUCUCGGGAUAGAUAAACUCUACUUUGUACUCCAUCUGAAAGCAAUAUAACACAAGCAUGACAUAGAGUUUUAUCUAUUCGAAGAGCCUGGGUAAAAAAAUUGUCCUUGUUACCAUCGUCUCAAGAUCCUUAGUUCGAGACCCCGUACCCGAGGUCUGCCAGAUUUAGCUUCGUCAAUCGUCCCUUCUGAUUGGCAUCCUAUAUUGCUCCAAUCUAGGCAACAUAGCACAACUAUGUGUUUCUCAUUGUGUCAAAGCCUUAUACCACCAAGACUAGGCCAAGAUUAUGCAUUGCAUUUUUUUAGCGGUUAUAGUUGUUUCUCGCAUUCCAUAUGUUCCAUCUUGAUUGAACCUUAGGGGUAGCCUAGGGAGGAUAUAUGAAUCAUUGGUCUCAUGGCCAGGGACGAAGCCAGAAAAUAGAGAUAGGGGGGCAAGAACUAAAAACAUCAAAAUCU
rnacentral:lncRNA from 1 species